rnacentral:rRNA from 1 species
AUUGAACGCUGGCGGCAGGCCUAACACAUGCAAGUCGAGCGAGCGGCGGACGGGUGAGUAAUAUAUGGGGACUGCACGAUAGAGGGGGAUAACUACUGGAAACGGUGGAUACUACAGCAUACUGUCGGGUAACCCAUAUGGGAUGAGCUAGUAGUUAGGGUAAUGGCUUACCUAGGCGACGCUCCCUAGCUGGUCUGCGCGGAUGACCAGCAACACUGGGAUGUAGACACGGCCCAGACUCCUACGGAGGCAGCAGUGGGGAUUAUUGGACAAUGGGCGCAAGCCUGAGGCAGCCAUGCCGCGUGUAUGAAGAAGGCCCUCGGGGUGUAAAGUACUUUCAGUCGGGAGGCGUUACCGAAAGAAGAAGCACCGGCUAACUCCGUGCCAGCCGCCGCGGUAAUAG